GACGAACGCUGGCGGCGUGCUUAACACAUGCAAGUCGAACGGUAAGGCCCUUCGGGGUACACGAGUGGCGAACGGGUGAGUAACACGUGGGUGAUCUGCCCUGCACUUCGGGAUAAGCUUGGGAAACUGGGUCUAAUACCGGAUAGGACCACGGUCUGCAUGGAUUGUGGUGGAAAGCUUUUGCGGUGUGGGAUGGGCCCGCGGCCUAUCAGCUUGUUGGUGGGGUGAUGGCCUACCAAGGCGACGACGGGUAGCCGGCCUGAGAGGGUGUCCGGCCACACUGGGACUGAGAUACGGCCCAGACUCCUACGGGAGGCAGCAGUGGGGAAUAUUGCACAAUGGGCGCAAGCCUGAUGCAGCGACGCCGCGUGGGGGAUGACGGCCUUCGGGUUGUAAACCUCUUUCAGCAUCGACGAAGCGCAAGUGACGGUAGAUGCAGAAGAAGCACCGGCCAACUACGUG
rnacentral:rRNA from 1 species